rnacentral:misc_RNA from 1 species
GUGAAUCAUCGAAUUUUUGAACGCACAUUGCGCUCUCUUGGGAGAGUAUGCCUGUUUGAGGGUCAGCCUCAAUAAAAUCGACAUAGUUGCUGUUUUCGCGGUGACAUUCGUCGGAAAUUGGGUCAUCUUAAACCUUUGUGCUUUCAGCGGAUUAAACUUUUCUUUACGAUUCAACGAACGUUUCUAAGCUAUUAACUCCUUACACGAUUAAGGAAUCGGUCUUUAUUGGACGC